UACGGAGGUGGCAAGCGUUACUCGGAAUUAUUGGGUGUAAAGGGCAAGUAGGUGGCUUGGUAAGUGAGAGGUGAAAUACUCCGGCUCAAUCGGAGAACUGCCUUUCAUACUGCCUUGCUUGAGGAUGACAGGGGGAAAUGGAAUUCCCGGUGUACGGGUGAAAGCUGUAGAUAUCGGGAAGAACACCAGCGGCGAAGGCGAUUUCCUGGGUCAUUCCUGACACUGAGUUGCGAAAGCUAGGGGAGCAAACAAG
rnacentral:rRNA from 1 species